CUGUGAGCCGCCGCUUGGAGGGGAGCUGCGAAACGAUCGCAGCGCGCGGGGUGGCGAGUAGUGAGUUGAGCCAGCGUGUGUUGUGAUAGCAUUUUGUAUGAGAAACAAUAGACGGUAUGUGGAAUUACACUUGUUGUGUUGUUAACUGCAAAAAUAACGGUAAAACUAGUGAUUGUAUAUUUUACAAGUUUCCAACUGCAUCACAUAAAAUAGUUCAAAGGCAAAAAUGGAUUGCUGCUGUGAAAAGAAAAAAUGGAGUCCAAAAACUCAUCAUGUAAUAUGUAAUGCUCAUUUCAUUGGCAAGAAAAAAUCAGAUGAUCCUGCGAGUCCAAGCUACGCGCCAACUCUAUUCCCUCCAGUUUAUCAUGCAAAGCAAGUAAAUGAAAGAGCUGUUUUGAGCAGGUACAAUCGACUCAUGAACCGAAGAAAGACUCUUCACAAGCGUAACAUCGGAGUGAAUUGUGAUACUGGAAAUCAAGUUAAUAACGACCCCAACAAUGUUGUCAAUAAUAGUGGACGUGAACCUAUG
rnacentral:lncRNA from 1 species